CAAAAACAUAGCCUUUAGCAUAUAAACCAGUAUUAAAGGUGCAGCCUGCCCAGUGACCAAGUUCAACGGCCGCGGUAUCCUAACCGUGCAAAGGUAGCAUAAUCAUUUGUCCUAUAAUUGAGGACUCGUAUGAAUGGCUAAAUGAGGGUUAUACUGUCUCUUAUGUCCCACCAGUGAAACUGAUCUUUUAGUUCAAAAGCUAAAAUAACUCUGCAAGACGAGAAGACCCUGUGGAGCUUUAAAUACACUGUCAACCACCAUGACAGCAAACUUUAAGUUGGGGCAACUUCGGAACAAAAAAACGCUUCCAAGCACAGAUCCACACCAUCUCACUGAGACAGACAAGUCUAAGUGCAAAAAUAUUGACCCAGUCUUACUGAUCAACGAACCAAGUUACCCCAGGGAUAACAGCGCCAUCUUCUUCUAGAGUCCAUAUCGACAAGAAGGCUUACGACCUCGAUGUUGGAUCAGGACACCCAAAUGGUGCAGCCGCCAUUAACGGUUCGUUUGUUCAACGAUUAAAGUCCUACGUGAUCUGA
rnacentral:rRNA from 1 species